CCUUACAUGCAAGUCGAGCGGUAGAGAGAAGCUUGCUUCUCUUGAGAGCGGCGGACGGGUGAGUAAUACCUAGGAAUCUGCCUGAUAGUGGGGGAUAACGUUCGGAAACGGACGCUAAUACCGCAUACGUCCUACGGGAGAAAGCAGGGGACCUUCGGGCCUUGCGCUAUCAGAUGAGCCUAGGUCGGAUUAGCUAGUUGGUGAGGUAAUGGCUCACCAAGGCUACGAUCCGUAACUGGUCUGAGAGGAUGAUCAGUCACACUGGAACUGAGACACGGUCCAGACUCCUACGGGAGGCAGCAGUGGGGAAUAUUGGACAAUGGGCGAAAGCCUGAUCCAGCCAUGCCGCGUGUGUGAAGAAGGUCUUCGGAUUGUAAAGCACUUUAAGUUGGGAGGAAGGGCAGUUACCUAAUACGUGACUGUCUUGACGUUACCGACAGAAUAAGCACCGGCUAACUCUGUGCCAGCAGCCGCGGUAAUACAGAGGGUGCAAGCGUUAAUCGGAAUUACUGGGCGUAAAGCGCGCGUAGGUGGUUUGUUAAGUUGAA
rnacentral:rRNA from 2 species